GCCAGCAACUAUAUCACCCUGCAGCUCUCAACUGGCUGCCCACUGAAGCUAAGCAGGGUUGAGCCUGGUCAGUACCUGGAUGCGAGACCUCCUGGGAAGCUAUGGUUGCUGCUGGAA
rnacentral:rRNA from 1 species